CCUAUGUGGUCUUUUCCUGAACGUCAGGGGAACUGUGCAAACUUAGGAUUUACGUAAUGGGUGGUCUAAGUUCUCUGAAAGUCGGUUUCUAAACCAUAGUCGGCGGGCUGAGGAUCUUCCUCCUAGGCUUUCGGGGGGCACCCUCACAGCAUCAGCACACCUGGGACCUAGCACCCACAACACAAACCCCAGGGAGACACACUCUAAUCAUAUCCAACGGCAGCGAGUCCCCAUGGGCAAGAGUUGGGAAUCUUCAGCCACGUUUCACAUCUUGCCUGCAUUUCUCGCUGUGGAUAAGGCUGGUCGCCCCUUCCAGAAGGUACAGCGAACAAAGCGGGUUGUGGGUGGGCUUCUCUGGACUGUGUAUGUCAUUUCCCCUUCUUUGUCCCCAUGGGCAUCUGACUCAGUACAGCAGGACUUAGCUGCGAGUCCUUCUGGCGAAGGUCUAAACGUGUGACCGAUCCCUGGGACUCUAAAACAGCAUGUUCUAGGAGGAAAGUGCAUGGACAUCUGGAGGGUGACAAGAUCUGGCUAACACGGCCCCCAGGAACAGAAGAACACACAAGGAGGCACCCCCGGAGACACUCACAGACCUCAGGCUAUGCACACAGUUCUGGAGGCGGGAGUCCAGGCGGACGGGACCCGGACUCCCUUCACCACAGCGAGGUGACAUCAGCAGACGCCACAGCGAGGUGACAUCAAGUGUGGGAAAACCCUGGCGCAGGCAGCAUAGGCAGCAUAGGCAGGCCGUGGCACCCUCCCUGCUUGAGGCCGUGACGAAGACCAGAACACCCACAAGGAAUGUGCGGAUUCAGCAGGAAUUAAGUCAGCGUAUACACCUGGCAGAGAACCAAAGGCACACCCAAACCCAGCCCCGCCACGCUGCAGUGAGCCCGUGACUCUGCUCAGAGUCUUUACACUUCAUUUGCUAGUAUAAAACAUGCCUGGGGACACCCGGAGCACAGCCAACUCCUGUCCUUCAAUCCGAGAAGACGCUACGGGCGCCAAAACCAGCUAUGGGCUGUGUGACAGAAUGUUCCAGGAAUGGUGGCAUAAAUUACCAGAGUCCUGGUCCAGCCAGGUGGCUCCUAAUGAGACAUUACUGCUGUCAGCUCUGGCUAAACCAGGCCUCUCCUGAGGACUGGGAAUGUGACGAAAACUCGGGAGAAGCCCACCCUUGCGAUGACCGUCCUGGACCUGUGGCUAUGGAGACCCCACCUGCCAGCUGGUUCUCCUUGGCUCUGAGAUGCCAGACGGCAGCUUGCACUGAGCUGUGGUCUUGCCCGUGCCUGCUGGGCUGAUGUUUGGAGCCCGUUCCCUGGCCUGAUCCCACGGGAUAGAGUUGGCACGCCAUCACCUUGUGGGCCCCGGGUCUGGCAGAGCCCAGUCACCAGGUCCCUCCACCUGGGAGCCCAGUCACUCUGCUCCUCCACCUGGGAGCCUCCCACCUGCUGCUCGUGUGACAGUCACUAAUGGGAAUGUCUGGCCAGACAGCCACCACCAGAUAUGUCACCCUUCCCCUAAACAUCUGCACCCCUUGUAGAUCCUUUAUGCAAUGCCGAAUCUGGGGUCCCACUGCAGACACCGUGACAUACACAAUAGGCAGAAAGCCCAGCUAGGACAGUGCUCCCGGGACAAUCAGCCAGGUGUCAGCCAAUCAACAGCUGGCCAAAGACCGUCAGCUGUCCGAACCAUAAUGCGAAUGUCACCAGCUGUCGCCAGUAUGACCAUCCUCCUACGUGUUUCCUCCCUGUCCCCCCACGCCCCAUUUUCUGUCCCCAACCAUCCUCCUCGCUAAGCCUGUCCAUUAUGAUAGAUUCGUAAAUAAAAAGCCAAGCGAGA